GAGAGUUUGAUUCUGGCUCAGGACGAACGCUGGCGGCGUGCCUAAUACAUGCAAGUAGAACGCUGACUACUUUAGCUUGCUAGAGUAGAAGGAGUUGCGAACGGGUGAGUAACGCGUAGGUAACCUGCCUACUAGCGGGGGAUAACUAUUGGAAACGAUAGCUAAUACCGCAUAACAGUGUUUAACACAUGUUAGAUGCUUGAAAGAUGCAAUUGCAUCACUAGUAGAUGGACCUGCGUUGUAUUAGCUAGUUGGUGGGGUAACGGCCCACCAAGGCGACGAUACAUAGCCGACCUGAGAGGGUGAUCGGCCACACUGGGACUGAGACACGGCCCAGACUCCUACGGGAGGCAGCAGUAGGGAAUCUUCGGCAAUGGGGGCAACCCUGACCGAGCAACGCCGCGUGAGUGAAGAAGGUUUUCGGAUCGUAAAGCUCUGUUGUAAGAGAAGAACGUGUGUGAGAGUGGAAAGUUCACACUAGUGACGGUAACUUACCAGAAAGGACGGCUAAUA
rnacentral:rRNA from 1 species